rnacentral:rRNA from 1 species
CAUGUAGGCGGAUUGAUAAGUUUGAAGUGAAAUCCUAUAGCUUAACUAUAGAACUGCUUUGAAAACUGUUAAUCUAGAAUGUGGGAGAGGUAGAUGGAAUUUCUGGUGUAGGGGUAAAAUCCGUAGAGAUCAGAAGGAAUACCGAUUGCGAAGGCGAUCUACUGGAACAUUAUUGACGCUGAGAUGCGAAAGCGUGGGGAGCAAACAG